GGGGGCUCUGUUGGUUCUCCCGCAACGCUACUCUGUUUACCAGGUCAGGUCCGGAAGGAAGCAGCCAAGGCAGAUGACGCGUGUGCCGGGAUGUAGCUGGCAGGGCCCCCACCC
rnacentral:SRP_RNA from 18 species